UAAUACACACUCUUCCCUCCUUCCCGGAUAUAUUUUUUUUUUCUUUUUAAUGGUGAAUAUUCAGCUUCUGUAAGGGUUUUUUCUUUUCUCCGCGCCUCCCGGCAUGUCAGAGAAUGUCCCCUGGCAGCGGCCCCGGGGGAGAUGUGUGCCUGGCUUUUGCCCUAAGCAACCAGAGGAACGUAGCCCUCCAUCAAAUCUCCUUAGUUUGUGCUCGUCCAAAUCCAAGCUAUCCGAGAUAAAAAAAUGUGGCUCCUCCUUGAGUUGCCCCGACCAUCAGGUGAAGCCAAAGCAAGCUGUGGGAUGUGUCCAUCCCAACAGCUGGCGGUAGGCAUUUUUCCUCUGUUUCUUUCUUAUUACCCCCCCGCUCCUCAACCCUCUUAUCUCAGCUGUGUACAAACUGAUAUGGUACUUAGCAGGAAAGUGACUGGAAAUUAAAAUAACUUCGUUCACCAGAGGUUAUCAGCUGGAUAUCUGUCAUCAUCAGUUUGUACAGAAAGUCAUCUGCGGCAAAGGGCUGGACUAGAGCAGAGCCGGGCUCUCGGCGGCCGGCAGGCGUGAGCCCUCCCGGCAGAAACCGAGCCCAAACCUGCUGAUGCGCCGUGCUGUCGCUCCUGGGUUUGGUAACAGGCUUACAUCUGAAAUGGCAGGAAAGGUCUGUCACGCCUGGACCAGAAGCCAAAACUUCAGCAUUUCAUUCUUUCUCAGCCACCAAAAAUGACAGCAAAACCUCUGGUUUUCUCCUUGUUCAGCGGGGCACUGAGACUGAAGGAACCCCUGAGCUGGUUGAAAGUGUUGCCUGUGCUCUGGGUUGAAGAUUUUAAACUUUUUUAUUUUAAAAGUAGGGGCUUGCAUUAAUAUGUUCCAAGAUAUUUCACUCAUGGAAUUAGAGAGGGGUGUGAUUCAGCCUGAAACCAGGAUUUAUGCUGCACUCUUAUUUUAGUUCCUACUGCCUAGGAGAAUAGUUACUACUCAAAUCACAAACUGUGUCUGUGACCUGUGCUAAGUUUUCAAAUUCACUUGGUUUUGGUUUUGAUAGCUUCAACAGAACUGUUGAAUAACAUUUCCUUCAGCAGGAGUUUUCCAAACAAAUUUACUUCAUUGCUUGUGAGACUUGGAACUACAUGUGCCUCUGAGGUCCAGAAGGUGACAUAUCUUUCACAAGUGAUUCCUCCAAUAAGCGUAGAGAGGAGAAAAUAAUUGUUGUGAGCUGUAGCUACCAGAAGAUUAAAAAUAUUCUGUACUGAAAUAAGUUAACUGUUGCUCAGCAUUUGGACUUGUGGAGCACAGAGCUGACUAGGUUGAGCCUAGGGAGAGAAUUGGAAAACAAACUUCUCCACUGGAAAAGGAGCCCUCCUGAAUUUAAUGCUGUUGGACCCAAUGAGCAGGAACAAACCUGGAAGACCUUGGCUGAAUUCUAAAUGUGAGUAUGGACUCCAAACAGCACUUUUUCCAUGUGUCAAAAAUACACUCUUUAAUGGAUUAAAUUAUUUUAUCAGUCUUCCAUUUGGAAGGCUAAAACCUGCUGUGCAAAGCUCAAGAAAUAAAUAAAAUCCGGUGAUGAAAGACUGAACUCUGAUGGGAAUAUUCCUGGAGAAAGGCCUGCUCAAAUUGACCUGCUUAAUUAAAAUGCAAUAAAAUGCAAUUUCCUUUACAUCAUUACAUGCUAAUGUCUACUUUGGAAUCACAAAUUUGUUGAAACCUGAGAAAAAUUGUUUAUCUGUGGUUACCUCUUGGUAACAAAAAAUGUAAAGAGAUGCUUUUAAGUAAACAUGCUAAUAUUUAAAAAUAAAUUUGGUGGCUUAAAUGAAGAAUACUGACGGGAGUAAAAAGGGCAAUGACUUCUUUAUUUUUGUUGAUGUCAGUUAUUCAUUUGUGGGCCAUCAAACUAUAAACUGGGGUACUUUAUUGACUGCAAUAUAUACUGGAUAUGUGCCAUAUUAUUCAAGAGAAACAAUGCACUGCAAAAACAAUACAGAGAAGAGGUAAUUUGUACAGAGUUCAUGAAACAAUUAUAAAAUCUAAUUACAAAACUGACUCACUAUGUCCUUGGUUCUAUUUAUUAGAAGAGAAUUGAAGGACAUACUAAACAUACUCAGAGUCUAGGAAUUCAAAUUUAAAUCCUGCCUGCACACCCAAGCAUCCAGGAACUGGUGUGAUCCAGAACACAGAUCAUGAUUCCCAAAAGAGGAUGUCUCGAUGUGGGACUCAGGACACGACUUCAUUUUCCUGUGUGAUGAAAGUUGAACUACUGCCCCAUUUUCCUGAGGAGUGCUCUGAAACUCAGUCAGUAUCACAGAAUAAACUUUUAACAAUGUUAAUGGCACACAAAAAGAAGUGUAAUUAAUUAUUUAUUUCAAAAGGUGACAGCAGUUUGAAAUCUGCUUGUGUUUCACUUGUUUCACUGGUACAAAGCUUCUGGAGAAAUGCAUCAGGAACAUUUGAAUGCAAGUGAAGGAGCUUCGUGUUCAAACAGAACCAAAUCACUGAGGUGCCUGAACACAAGACAUUGCCAAGGGUUUGCACAUGUCAAUCACUCACAGAGAUCAUCUAAGCCAGAAAUGACCGAAGCCAAAACAAAAGUAAGUUGCUGAACCAUUCUGUGAAUUUUCAUGUUGUAGCUGCACUGCAACUGUUUGAACUCUUUUCAGAUGUUUUUCCUUAAACUUUUAAUGCUUUUUAAGGAACAUAUAAAUAUUUCCUUUCUUCAUCAUGUAAUAAACUUUAUUAAAUAAAACCUAGUUUUUCAUCUCU